rnacentral:snoRNA from 1 species
ACGUUCUUGUGUUAUUUAUUGGCUGUAAUUUUUCUUUAGUCAAUAAUUGUCAAAAAGAACGCAUAUUAAAUAGCAAAAGAUCGUUAAUCUU